rnacentral:lncRNA from 1 species
CGUCGGGUCCUGCAAAGGAAGUCUAAACCGGAGUUGGGGGUGCUCUGGCAAGAUCCUCCGACGCUCAAGUCAGUUCUCUGCCUCAACAAGAAUGGAGUGCUCGAACGAAAAUUUUAGCAGAGUUUUGAGAUAGAAAUUAGAGCUUAGAGAAUAACGUAUCUGGGGCCCCCUUUUUAUAGGUGGAGGGAGCAACGGAUUGAUAGCGACGUUUGUAACCACCUAGUAGUGGGCCGCUCGGGGUCAGGAGGAGUUUAUUAUGAAGAGUAAUGGGGUGGAGUCAUGGCUGUCACCAUGGCUCACCACGUGGAGUCUAUUGCAGAGAGUGGAGCGGCGUCCGUUGUCGUGACUCGCCAGGGAGUGGUGGAGCUGCACAGAAUC